ACUUCUGUUCAAAGUCUCUUACCUGCAUAGAAGAGUUUCUUCUAGUGAGAGAAAUUGUAGAGAGAGAAAGAACAAAUUACAAGGAUAAAGAAAGGAACAAAACUGCAAACUUUGAAAGGAAAAAACCAAAAAACUGAGAGUUAUAUACCUUACUCUGCUCUGAUUCUCUAUACCUUCAAUCUUGUUUAGGAGCUCACUUUCAGAAUUGGAUCCUUUUUUUUUUUGGCCUUAUCUGAUUCUGGGGUUCAACAAGUUGGUCAUGUUUUUCUGAAUUGUGUAUGGCUUUUUGCUGUAAAAUUAUUUGACUUUGGAGCUAGAAGUGAAUUUUAGGAGGAAGAUGUCUUGGAAAAGCAGAGUAGAGAAGCCUUCAGGGAGCAUUAUACCUAAAAAAUGGGCUCUUUUUCUAUGUUUAGGCAGCUUCUGUGCUGGAAUGCUCUUCACCAAUAGGAUGUGGAACGUUCCUGAAACUAAAGAUAUUACAAGAACAACUUCAGUGGAAGCUGAAAAACUGAAACUAGUCUCUGAGGGUUGUGGUCCAAAAUCUCUGCAUCAGAAGGAGGUAAGGCGCGACCCGAAAGACAUUUACGGGGAGGUUUUCAAGACUCACAAUGCAAUACAAACGUUGGAUAAGACCAUUUCAAAUUUAGAGAUGGAGUUAGCUGCGGCAAGAGCAGCACAAGAAUCCAUUCGCAGCGGUGCUCCCUUAUCGGAAGACUUAAAAAAGACAGGGUCAUCCGGGAGUGGGAAGAGAAAAUAUCUUAUGGUUGUUGGUAUUAAUACUGCUUUCAGUAGCCGGAAAAGAAGAGAUUCAGUUCGUGCUACAUGGAUGCCACAAGGUGAGAAAAGAAAGAGGCUUGAGGAGGAGAAGGGCAUUAUCAUUCGAUUUGUCAUUGGUCAUAGUGCCACAUCAGGGGGUAUUCUAGACAGAGCUGUUGAAGCAGAAGACAGGAAACAUGGAGAUAUUUUAAGACUGGACCAUGUUGAAGGUUACCUUGAAUUGUCUGGCAAGACAAAAAUAUAUUUUGCUACUGCCGCUGCUUUGUGGGAUGCUGAUUUUUAUGUCAAAGUUGAUGAUGAUGUCCAUGUAAAUAUUGCAACACUUGGAGAAACGCUAGUCAGACAUCGGUCAAAGCCUCGGGUGUACAUUGGAUGCAUGAAAUCUGGUCCAGUGCUUGCACAAAAAGGAGUGAGAUACCAUGAACCUGAGUACUGGAAGUUUGGUGAAAAUGGAAACAAGUAUUUCCGUCAUGCCACGGGACAGCUAUAUGCCAUCUCAAGAGAUUUGGCUCAGUAUAUAUCAAUUAACCAGCAUGUCCUACAUAAGUAUGCUAAUGAGGAUGUCUCUUUGGGAUCUUGGUUCAUCGGACUUGACGUGGAACAUAUUGAUGAUCGAAGAUUAUGUUGCGGUACUCCACCUGACUGUGAAUGGAAGGCCCAAGCAGGAAACGUCUGCGUUGCUUCAUUUGAUUGGACCUGCAGUGGGAUUUGUAGGUCGGCUGAUCGCAUCAAAGAAGUCCACAGGCGAUGCGGAGAGGGUGAGAAUGCUUUGUGGAGUGCUUCGUUCUAAGAGGCAAACUCUUUCGCUUCUUCCAGCCUCAGGAAGGAUUUUUCGAGCUCCUAGUACAAAAGCAUAUACACGUAUUUUUGACUUUACUUUUUUAAUCUUUUUAGUUGGGGUAUAGUAAAAUUGUACUAUCACAUAUAGAGAGGGAGAGAGUGAGAAAGAGAGAGAGAGGGAGAGGGAGAAAUAUGCUAAAUGGGACCACCUUCAUUUUAGUAUAGGAGAAUGGCCAUUGUAACAGCCCAAAAUGGAAGCAGAGGUAGAGGCUGACAACCACAAUUCUAUUCUUUGAGGCUUGAAGAGCCAAUUUCGCCAUGUUUUAGAUGCAGAGAGCACACAGAACCACCCUGCAAGCAUCACUAUUUAAUGCUCAUGCUCUAUUUGAGGUGCUUUGUGAUUUUGGUAAGAGAUGCCCUGAAAUAUGAAUAAAUUUUAUACAGUUUACAGACAUGGCUAAUAAGCCAACAGUAAAAUCAUGGAGGACAAUAUUUAACUAGUUUAUACCUCUAUUUGGUUUAUGUCUUUAUCUCUCUCUCUCUCUUUGGGCCACAAUGUGUUAAAUACAAAGAGACAACCUUUGAAGCAACGCCGUACAAGUUAGCUGAGAUUUGACUAGUUUUAUUUAUUCAUUCAUUUUUAUUUUUGUUACAUGGGAAA